rnacentral:rRNA from 1 species
GACAGAGGGUGCAAACGUUGUUCGGAAUUACUGGGCGUAAAGUGUGCGCAGGCGGCCGAGCAAGUCGAGUGUGAAAGCCCCGGGCUUAACUUGGGAAUUGCGCUCGAAACUACUUGGCUGGAGUGUGGCAGAGGAAGGUGGAAUUCCAGGUGUAGCGGUGAAAUGCGUAGAGAUCUGGAGGAACACCGAUGGCGAAGGCAGCCUUCUGGGCCAACACUGACGCUCAUGCACGAAAGCGUGGGGAGCAAACAGG